GUAAAUGACAUUUGAAGAUACAGUGACCUAAUUGAUUUAUAUUUAAAUGAUGAUUGAACACUCAACCUUUUGAAACCUUAUGUAAAAAGAUAUGGCUGUAGGUCAUUGGUUCGCAAGGUGUUGUCCUCAGCAACAUGUGCUGGGAACUUGUUAGAAAAGCAUAUUCUUAAACUCACUCCAGAUCCACUGAAACAGACUGUAUGGUAGGUCUCAGUCUGGGUUUUUACAAGUCCUCCAGCUUGGAGCAAUGUUCUAGAAAUAAAAACAGAACACCUAAAGUCCCUGAAGCAAUAAAACUUAAAAUGCAAAAAUGACAACAAUCAAGAAGUCUUUGAGACUAUUAAGGACCUUACUGAGAAUAGAGGUGGGAAACUAAGGGCAAGGCUGCUUUGGCUUUGGUGGAGUUGAAUAAAUAGAUCUGUGGUGUCUUUGUUAGGUUAAACAUACCUAAAUAUCCAAGGUUAAUAUCAAAAACAACUGUGAUAGAUGAACUUGGUGCUUUACAGAAAAAGUCUGUCCUUGAGAUAUAAACCCAGGAAUUUUCAGUCUCUUGAUGAAUUGUGAAACUAGGAACAGGAAGAGAUCACAAACAGAAGAAAUAUAAAUAAGUAUAAUGUGUGAACUAAGAAAAUUAUUAGGAAUAUUUCAAACUUGAGAGGAAGAACAAUGGAAGUGGAAAUGUAAAGGGAAAUUGAGAAGGAGAAUGUGGCAUAUGAAUACAGUUAGGUGAGAGGCAUUAGAAGUCAGAUUAAAAAAAAAAGUGUCCCAAGAAAGUGGGCUAUGCAAUCAUGUCAUAUGCAACUACUAAGUUAAAUAAAUAUGAAUAUUGGCUGCUGUACUUGAUGUAAAAUUUAAUGGGUGAUCCUGAUCAAACUAAUGUUAGUACAUGAUGACAUAGCCCCAUGGAACAGGCAAUAAAGUGAAAGACUGAAAAGGGAGAGAAAUUAAUGAUAUAGAAAAAGUUAAUAGUAACAUUUAAAAUGUAAGAAUAUUUCGGACCCAUGAGAAAUUAACCAAGGUCAUGGGAGAAGACAGUGAGAAGAAGCAAACAACUUUAGUAUUAAAAACCAUAGAACAGGGGUUGGGGCUGUAGCUAAGUGGUGGAGUGCAUGCCUCGCAUGUGUAAGGCACUGGGUUCGAUCCUUAGCACCAC
rnacentral:lncRNA from 1 species